GCCCGCUUCAUCAAGGAGCUCGGUCGCCUCGCCUGCUCGCCGACGAGCUCACCCGCGUCCCCCGGGAGGUCGCUCGCCUCGCCCAAGAUCUAACACACCUGCACCGCUCAGCUCUCCCACUCCGAACCCCCGCGGCAGCGUUGUCCCUGCACGCCACCGCUACCUCCACGCCGUUGAUCUCCACCUGGCAGUGCAGUCUGAAAAGUGUUGUUUUCUAUCAGAGAAGCUGAUGUGAACAAGUUAAAGUGUCUGGCGGAGGUGUUCGGUUCAGAGUGGGAAUGCAGCAUAUAAUCUCUCGGGUGUUGGAGAAGAUAAACAACCCACAUUACAUGUACCACAUUACCAUCCUGCAAGCCGCCUCAUUGCUAGCCUUGUCGUGGUUGCAGACGUAAAAUGCCAGAAGCUUCUCCAUGUCGUGGUUAAUUCUUCAAAGAACAUGUGACUGGCAAAUACCAUACCGGCAAAAACUCAUCUCUCGAAGGCUUCUUCGCUGAGACGCUGACAAGUAUCUUUAAACUUCCAGGGUGCCCAACAUCGAGUUCAAUGUUGCCAAGGUUCUGCAGUCGUGUACAUCAGUCCUUUGCUGUGAAGACUUUGAAGCCAUGCCUCAUCAAGCUCAGUGAGGACACAGACGUGGAUGUGAGAUACUACGCGAACCAGGCCCUCGAGGCGUGUGAUCAGAUCAUGGUCUCAAGCUAAUUGAUGGCUGGGGAAACUGAAGAUAUGUGAGGUGAUUAUGCUAGUUUCACUCCGGACUUGGAUGCCCGUCCUAAUCCUGGGCGUCGCUCGUUGCCACCAUGAGAAGCGAGAAGCUGUGAUUAGUGGCAUGGGAUGUUCUCAGGGAUAUAACUUAUUUUUGACUACAUACUGUAUUAAAUUAGUUUAGAAACAUACGAAGAAUAUGUAACAUAAGUAGUUAUGUUGAGACUUUCUGGUCAUUUCUUAGGUUCAGUGACAAAAUGAAUCGAAUCGCUAACUUGAUCAUUCAUACAUAAUGAAUGAAGUUCACGUUCUGUGAAAAAGCAGAGGAAAGAUGGCUAACAAUUUUAA